CACGCGCCGGUUAACUCUUUCGCAAACUCUUACCCCACGCUCUUGGCCAUGAGCGUCUGCAGGUAUUUCCUGGCGGACAGCUGGUCCAGCACCUUGCGGCUCAAAAUGCAGUUGGAAAACCUAUCACUUGAGAGAAAGCUCUUCUAGCGGAAAAGAAUUCGAAUCGAGGGCUGGGACCCGCCGCCGGACCCAGGCUGGCGGCGGUGCAAUGGGGGCGCGUAGGGGAGAUGAUCGUAGCCGGGACCGAGGAACUGCAAGAGGGCGACCACGACGAAGUGUCGAGGGAAGAGACGCCCCAGUCCCAGCGUAGCCGAGGUGGCUGGCACCUACCUGAUCCCAGGGAAUCGGAGUCCCGCGGCGGCAGUCACGUAAUGAUCGGGUAUCAGAAAAAGACGUCAGCAUCCUAGUCCCUCAAGGAACAUAUUAACUAUUCUGUGCUGUCCUCUUGGAUGAUAAGAUCCGGAGUCAUCGACUUCUCAUAAACACCUUUCACUCAUACAAUACAAUUUUAAAGAAGUUUAAUUAUUUUGAUGUUUUUCAAUUUUACCCAUUUCUCAAGAAUGAGUAAAGAAUUCAUAGAAUUCUGAGAAUGGUGAAAAUCGUGUUUUUAACUGUGUCCUUCUUACUUCUUUUUGCUUUUUCAAGCCCCAACAAUCAGAGCUCUGGUCUCUGGUAUUAAGCGCCAUCAAGGUCUCCUAUUAAUAAAUUUAAUUUAGCUCUCCUAAUUUCUUGCGUAUGUUCUUUUAGAUAGACAAUUAAAUGUGGAAGUCGUUUUGUUUUUAAAGGGAAGUCUUGGAGGAUUUUCAGUAAAUCGCUAAUGAGUCUGGCUGUCUUGACAGUCUGGCCCUGAGCAGAUUGAUUAGAGUUAAAGCUGCAUCCUGAGAGCGGCCUGUGGAGCUGUCCAGGCUUGGAGUGCUGAACUCUUUGAUCGCAGAUGUUGUAAACAUUGAAAAUUGCCAUUAGUUUAAUUUUUCACCAGAGCCUCUAAAUCUGAAGAUUUAGUAGUGAUGUCCUUAAUGUGGCAAUUCAUUGUCCAAGCCCCCCUGCCGUUCAGAUAUGUUCCUUCCUUGCAGUGUCCACGAAUGUCCUUAAUGGUGAGCAUUGCCUGACCCUCUUUUCACUCUCUGAGUAAAGAACAUUUUGUGUCUUCCCUUAAUCUUGGCUUUGGGAAUCUCUAGAUGGCCUGUUGGGGUAUCUUCACACUUUCUGUGGCUCUUUCUAAUUUUAAACACUGAAACUGUGAAAUUGUAUUUUCCACAAAAACUGAAGUUUUAAGAAUUUGGGAGUAAAGAAAUGCUUUCCCCCUUUAUUUGCAACUUGAGUUCUGUUUGGGGAAAUACCGACAGAUUGGGAAAGCAUGAGGAUUCCCAGUACAAAUUCACUUGCUGAUGGUUUCUAACAGGAAUCCUUUCAUUGAGGAUGGUUAAUUUUUUUUUAAUUGAAAAUGACCUGGAAAGAGGAAAGCAAUAAAGGAAGACCACAUCCACCCCCCAAGGCUUUCCAAGCCCUGAGGUUAUUUAAGAAGAUUCGUAAGUUUCUACUCCAGUAAGAGAAACGCUGGUCUAUUUCUUUUAAAAAGGAAACAGAGCCAUCAAUAACCAUUAGUGUGCAUUUUAAUUAUUUGGAUCUUAAAAAUUAGAGGAAAUGGCAAUUUAGUGGGAGUAUUUCCUGUUACUAUGAUUUAGAUCUAACAUUUAAACAAGCUAUCUGCAUGCUUUUUCUAAGAUAAAAUUAUAAUGCUUCUCAUUCUCAAUGCCUUUCCCGCUCUCUUAUUUGAGAUUUAAUACUUCCUCCAAGAAGACAAAGUUUUGCUUCGUCCUGGCCAUGAAUGCACCAGAAAUGACCACUUCCUCUGAGUUCAUUCCUGAGGAUGCUCCAGAUUGCCUAUCUGCAAUAAAGAUUUAAACACCUCAACAUGGAGAUGUAUCUCUUUGUCUCCACUGCAUAUGUUCACUGACUUAUGUUGGAGUAUUUACAUGCCUGUGUUCAGCGUUCAGCUCUGCCUCUGGAGUAAGCUCACACACAAAAAAAGCUGGGGUUGAACACGACCAGAUAAUCAAGCAGAGAGAGCUUUCUUACAAAAGCGCCCAAAGCUAUUACCGACUGUGGCUUUCCUGUCUUCCGCCUCGCUUCACGUCAAAGGUGAACCCGAUUAAAAUCCUUACUCUUUUCUCCCACGCGAAUUCUGAAAUGAGUUCCAUCUGUAGAAAUAUUUGAAAAUUUCCAAGACUCCUUGUACAAAUUCAUUACUCAACUUUAGUAAAGGGAGCCACCAUGUGGGGAGUUUGUUGACUUCAUGGCUUAUUAGAGGGGGAUAAUCACAAACACCAUUAAUUUUGUGAGGAGGAUGAUGGAACUGCUUGCUCUAUCAACCCCCGAAUCUGAACUACGUCUCUGGUUUACAAAGGCUGCGCCCCUCGACUCUUCUCAGCACGUGCACUAUGAGUGAGGAUCUCAGGGGCCUGCACGUCAGAAUCACCUGCCUCGAGGCCAGAACCCAUUCACUGAAGUUAAAGACUAAGCAGAGAAUUUAAUUUGAGAUUACUGAACUCCAAAGAAAGCAAGCUUCCAAGACCUAUGCAUUGCUCAGCACAAUCCAAAAACCCACCCAGCUGCCUAAGGGAAUGGAACCCGAGUCCCAUAGAA